rnacentral:tRNA from 1 species
GGGGGUUUAGCUCAGUGGUAGAGCACUUGCCUAGCAAGCACAAGGUUGUGGGUUCGGUCCUCACCUCCCG